UUCUAUCUUCCUUUGCAUCUAAUCAAUCAAACCAAGAAGAAGAACAAGUGUGGAAUAAUGGCUUCCAGGUAUUGGGUGGUUUCUCUUCCCGUUCAGCAAAAUUCUUCUACUACUUCUCUCUGGAGUCGCCUUCAAGAAUCCAUAUCCAGGCAUUCAUUCGACACUCCUCUUUACAGAUUUAACAUCCCUAAUCUCCGUGUCGGUACAUUGGAUUCGCUUUUAGCUCUCAGCGAUGAUCUCAUCAAGUCAAAUAGCUUCAUUGAAGGGGUCUGCUCCAAGACACGGCGUCAGAUCGAGGAAUUGGAGAGAGUUUCCGGCGUUCUCAGUAGCUCUCUCACUGUAGAUGGAGUUCCUGUUGACUCAUACCUCACUAGGUUUGCAUGGGAUGAGGCAAAGUAUCCCACUAUGUCACCUCUUAAGGAGAUUGUGGAUGGAAUUCACAGCCAAGUUGCCAAGAUUGAGGAUGACCUUAAGGUUCGUGUUUCUGAGUAUAACAAUGUGCGUAGUCAACUAAAUGCCAUCAACCGAAAACAAACCGGAAGCUUAGCUGUCCGUGAUCUGUCCAAUUUGGUAAAGCCAGCAGAUGUUGUUACCUCAGAACACCUAACAACUCUCCUUGCUGUUGUUUCUAAAUACUCACAGAAAGACUGGUUAUCCAGUUACGAGACCCUGACCACCUACGUGGUUCCCAGAUCUUCUAAGAUGCUCUAUGAGGACAAUGAAUAUGCUCUUUAUACUGUAACAUUAUUCAACCGUGAUGCCGACAAUUUCAAGAAUAAGGCGCGUGAAAGAGGCUUCCAGAUUCGUGAUUUCGAACAUAAUCCAGAGACUCAAGAAAGCCGGAAACAAGAGCUGGAAAAACUGAUGCAAGAUCAAGAGACAUUCAGAAGCUCUCUGUUGCAGUGGUGCUAUACCAGUUAUGGGGAGGUCUUUAGCUCCUGGAUGCACUUUUGUGCUGUGCGUAUCUUUGCUGAGAGCAUUUUGAGAUACGGGUUGCCUCCAUCAUUUUUGUCUGUUGUUUUGGCACCCUCAAUCAAAAGUGAGAAGAAAGUACGUUCCAUUCUCGAGUCACUCUGCGACAGUUCAAACAGCAAUUUCUGGAAAGCUGAUGAUGAAGGAGGAAUGGCUGGUUUUGGAGGUGACACAGAGGCUCAUCCUUACGUCUCCUUCACCAUAAAUCUUGUUUGAGUUCGAGGAAUGACUUUGUCUGUCCAUUGCAUUGGUUCGAUUCUAGUUGCUAUCAUCAAUAAGGGCAGGUUGCGCACUUGUACUAUAUAGAGGAUUGUCCAAUUAUUAUUUUUUCAAUAUUAUAUGUUUAUUGUAAAACAUAUUUAUUUUUAUUACCUUAUCCUGCCUCCUUUAUAGGGGUUGAUUGUAUUCCAACUCUUGCUGAAAAUUUUAAAGAUAUUUUGCUACGUAUUGGAAAUCUUUUUCCCAACUAAAUG
rnacentral:misc_RNA from 1 species